UACGUAGGGGGCAAGCGUUGUCCGGAAUUAUUGGGCGUAAAGCGCGUGUAGGCGGAAGCGAAAGUCCGGUGUGAAAGCCCCCCGCUCAACGGGGGAAGGUCGCUGGAAACUGCGCUUCUUGAGGGCGGCAGAGGGAAGUGGAAUUGCUGGUGUAGCGGUGAAAUGCGUAGAGAUCAGCAGGAACACCCGUGGCGAAGGCGGCUUCCUGGGCCGCGCCUGACGCUGAGACGCGAAAGCGUGGGGAGCAAACGGG
rnacentral:rRNA from 1 species